UUGGAAUAACCCCGCGAAAGCGGGGCUAAUACCGAAUGAUGCAGCGGAUCCGCAUGGAUAUGUUGUUAAAGCUUCGGCAUCAAAGGAUUGACCUGCAUCCCAUUAGCUAGUUGGUGGGGUAAUGGCCCACCAAGGCGACGAUGGUUAGCUGGUCUGAGAGGAUGAUCAGCCACACUGGAACUGAGACACGGUCCAGACUCCUACGGGAGGCAGCAGUGGGGAAUUUUGCGCAAUGGGGGAAACCCUGACGCAGCAACGCCGCGUGAGCGAUGAAGGCUUUCGGGUCGUAAAGCUCUGUCAGAGGGGAAGAAAUGAGCCUGGCUAAUAUCCAGGUUUCUUGACGGUACCCUCAAAGGAAGCACCGGCUAACUCCGUGCCAGCAGCCGCGGUGAUACAAGGG
rnacentral:rRNA from 1 species